AACGAACGCUGGCGGCAUGCCUAACACAUGCCAGUCGAACGAGACCUUCGGGUCUAGUGGCGCACGGGUGCGUAACGCGUGGGAACCUGCCCUUAGGUUCGGAAUAACUCCCCGAAAGGGGUGCUAAUACCGGAUAAUGUCUUCGGACCAAAGAUUUAUCGCCUUUGGAUGGGCCCGCGUUGGAUUAGCUAGUUGGUAGGGUAAAAGCCUACCAAGGCGACGAUCCAUAGCUGGUCUGAGAGGAUGCUCAGCCACACUGGGACUGAGACACGGCCCAGACUCCGACGGGCGGCAGCAGUAGGGAAUAUUGUACAAUGGGCGAAAGCCUGAUCCAGCAGUGCCGCGUGAGUGAUGAAGGCCUUAGGGUUGUAAAGCUCUUUUACCCGGGAUGAUAAUGACAGUACCGGGAGAAUAAGCACCGGCUAACUCCGUG
rnacentral:rRNA from 1 species